CUACGGGGGGCAGCAGUGGGGAAUAUUGGACAAUGGGGGAAACCCUGAUCCAGCCAUGCCGCGUGUGUGAAGAAGGCCUUUUGGUUGUAAAGCACUUUAAGCAGUGAAGAAGACCUAACGGUUAAUACCCGUUAGCGAUGACAUUAGCUGCAGAAUAAGCACCGGCUAACUCUGUGCCAGCAGCCGCGGUAAUACAGAGGGUGCAAGCGUUAAUCGGAAUUACUGGGCGUAAAGCGAGCGUAGGUGGCUUGAUAAGUCAGAUGUGAAAUCCCCGGGCUUAACCUGGGAACUGCAUCUGAUACUGUUAAGCUAGAGUAGGUGAGAGGGAAGUAGAAUUCCAGGUGUAGCGGUGAAAUGCGUAGAGAUCUGGAGGAAUACCGAUGGCGAAGGCAGCUUCCUGGCAUCAUACUGACACUGAGGCUCGAAAGCGUGGGUAGCAAACAGGAUUAGAUACCCUAGUAGUC
rnacentral:rRNA from 1 species